rnacentral:lncRNA from 1 species
GCCUAAUUGAAUCUCCUGCUCCAAGUAGAAUUUUCAGGCGUUCCGUAUACGAACCUCUUCAAACAGGGCUUAUUGCUAUCGAUUCGAUGAUCCCUAUAGGACGCGGUCAGCGAGAGUUCAUUAUUGGGGACAGACAGACUGGCAAAACAGCAGUAGCCAUAGAUACAAUUCUCAAUCAAAAAGGGCAAGGUGUAAUAUGUGUUUAUGUAGCUAUCGGUCAAAGAGCAUCCUCCGUAGCUCAAGUAGUAACUACUUUCCAUGAGGAGGGGGCCAUGGAAUACACUAUUGUAGUAGUUGAAAUGGCGGAUUCACCUGCUACAAUACAAUACCUCGCUCCUUAUACGGGAGCAGCCUUGGCUGAGUAUUUUAUGUACCGCGAACGGCAUACUUUAAUAAUUAUGAUGAUCUCUCCAAACAGGCACAAGCUUAUUGCCAAAUGUCCCUUCUAUUAAGUCCCGGCCGUGAGGCUUAUCCAGGGGAUGUUUUUUAUUUGCAUUCACGCCUUUUAGAAAGAGCCGCGAAAUGCAAUUCUCUUUUAGGCGAAGGAAGUAUGACCGCUUUACCAAUAGUUGAGACUCAAUCUGGAGACGUUUCCGCCUAUAUUCCUACUUUCGAUCUGCUUUCUGUACUAAAAUUCGAGAAAUCAUUUUUUAAUUCAGGUUGAUUCGAGCAGUUCAGCUAGGGCUUACCUUUGACUCCCUUUUACUCCAGCAUCUCAAAUAAUACUAUAAAAUAUGUGCUUGCAAUAAACAGAAGCUAAAGGAAGAAAAGCAAUAAAACUAAUUCACUUGCUUCUUGGGAUCGAUAAAUGGCUUUUUUUCAUUUGGGACUGCCCUCUUCCAAGAGUUCAUCCACGAAAGGAAUGGGAUAUUUUUAUUAAUGGUAAGGCUAUUUAGUUUCCUGUAGUCUAUACAAAAUCGCCAACUCCCACCCAUCCUACCUACAGGUACAGGACUUGAAAAGGGCAAAGGGCUUGAGCUUGGCCUAAUCACAGCAGCUGCUAGCAUUUCAUCGACCAACUUUUCAAUGGCUGCCUUUUGAUCGUGCGAGUAUCUAUACGGCCUGAGAUUAAUCGGCUCAGCUCCCUCCAGAAGAGGUAUUACAUGAUCAUGGGUCUGGUGGUAACUCUUUUGGCUCAUUGAAAAUGUCAGAGUCUCGGGUAAGUAACUUAUUCAUACUGUUAGGUAUUCUGGUUUCUUUGCUGGUGGCAUUCACUGGAAAAGCUUGCAUGAGCAUACAAAUCUCUCCUUGUUGUAACUGCACCCUUCCUCUUUCUACUGACCUCCUUGUCUGAUCCCGAAUUCCCUUUCAAACUACUUUCUUGCCUUCCUUGACCAAUGUUAUGGAUGGUGCACUGGUUGAUAAAAUAAUUGGACCUUCCUUCUUAUAGCAACAAAAUCCAAUCUCCCCCUCAUACGAACCUACCUCCAUGACUUUCAUGUCAAACUGAAACUCCUUCCCUUGCAUUACCCAUAGCAUGCCAUCACAUUUGUGCUCACAAUACAUCUUAGCGCCAUUUGCUAUUGUGAUUUCCAUAGGUUUAUACGGAGUUGAGUUGUAACCAGCCCGCUUCACAAUCUUUGGGGUCUACAAAACAGUGCGUGCUGCCACUAUCAACCAAGGCAAUCACUGGCACUCCGUUUACCUGGUAUCUCUGUCCAUAGUCGUCUCCUAUUUUGGAAGACUGAGACUUGUGACACAGCAGCAAUAUUAGUCAAAUAACAUGUCAUUCAAACGCAGCGCGCCUUGUUAAUUGCUCGUCACGUAAGUGAAUUUACGAAUAGGGAGCCCAGGUGCCCAACAAGUUAAUUAUUUCCUCCUCCAGGAUUGUUGCUUUCCUUCUAUAGCCUCACGUAUGAAAAACGUGUGCCUUAUAGAGGGCUAGGCCACAAAUACAUAGCAUAGAUAACAAGGGUUUUGCCAAAGUAGACGCUCAAGCGAAACAUUCCACUUAUCGAAGAAGGGAUACAGGUAUUUCAAGUUCAAGAAGUAGGCAUUGAUCCAAAAGAAUGUAGUGAAAAUCUAGGCUAGGAGGAAUGCGUCAGAGCCAAGGUCAGGCAAAAGGUUGCUGGAUCUUUAUGUUGGCCGGAAGUUAUUUCUUUUCAAUGAGGUUCAAUGUUCUCUAGAUUGCUUAGAAGUAGCCUGCCUUACUCAAGCCAACUAGGAUCAGAAGGUGUUGAUAGGGCUAGACUUUCUCUCAUGGGCGUGACCAUAUUAAAUAAAGGGUCUUUUCAUCGCUUUGGCCUGGAGCUAAGUAAGUAAGGACUUUGCCAGGUUUGAACUCCAAAGUCAUUUACGCCCAGUAUUUCCUUUGAUUCUUAUAGCCUUCGUGUCAAGGAGCGAUGCGAGCGGUCCAAUUGCACAUCAAUAGCAGCUGCUUUUAUCUCCGCAUUCAGUAAACGAAAUGCUGAACCCAUGUUGGUAAUUCCCUUUGUGCUCUACUGUCUUGAACUAUUUUCUUUAGUUGACAUGGAGGCUUUAGUGCCACGUUCAAGCUAAA